rnacentral:rRNA from 1 species
CCUACGGGUGGCAGCAGUGGGGAAUAUUGGGCAAUGGAGGCAACUCUGACCCAGCAACGCCGCGUGAAUGAUGAAGAUCUUCGGAUUGUAAAGUUCUGUGAUGGGGGAUGAACACAAUGACGGUACCCCAAUAACAAGCCACUGCUAACUACGUGACAGCAGCAGCGGUAAUACGUAGGUGGCAAGCGUUAUCCGGAGUGAAUGGGCGUAAAGGGUGCGUAGGUGGUUUAGUAAGUUAGCGGUGUAAUUCCGGGGCUCAACCUCGGCGCUACCGCCAAAACUAUUAGACUAGAGUGCAGUGGGGGUAAGUGGAAUGCCUGGUGUAGCGGUGGAAUGCGUAGAUAUUAGGAGGAACAUCAGGGGCGAAGGCGACUUACUUGACUGUAACUGACACUGAGGCACGAAAGCGUGGGGAGCAAACAGGAUUAGAUACCCGUGUAGUC